GACAACUAAAGCUAACGCCAACUUCUGCUUCCAAAACGGGCCAGGGCGGGUGGGAAAAACACUCCUUGAAGUCUGGAACCUGGAAAGAGGCCGAAUCAACAGCAACAGGACCCUAUAAAGAGCCUCUCCUCCUGGGGGAUCUGUCCGAAU